UCCGCAGUGUUAAGGGCCAACUGCUAUCUCCUAGCAGAAGGUGUGGGAAGUGAGACCCAACUGCCUGGAGAGCUCAACCCUCGGGCAGUGCCAACCCCGUGCCUCAGGAGCCCACCUGCCUUUGAUUUAGAAUGGAGUGUACUUUCCGUGUGCUUGUUCAAUGAUCACAGGCAGCUGCGCAAGGGCAGCCCUUUCUGUCAUCACACCGCAUUGUCUCUUACAUUUCACGUGACUUCCAGCUUUCCUUCCGAAGUCAUGAUUGAGACAAACAGCUCGGAUCAUUCAUCUCGUUGCCCCCAAUUGGAAGUGACCCUGAGAAGCCACAGCUCCAUUGACAACCUGGGUAAAGUAUUGUGAAAGAUCAGUUCCAUCUUUCGGGUAGUCAAGUGGUUCUAUGUCUACCUUGUGGACUGAUACCAUCCCCAUUCUGGGAGUGUCUUCUCCUGCAGAGUCCCCACGACAUCAACAACUGCUUUCCGAAUUCUAAGGACGGUGUCUCAUCUUGCUAGAUGUGAAAUACCAGGUGCAAGCCUGCAUCCAGAGAGACAGACAGCAUCUAUAGCAGUGAACAUGCCCACUCUCCAGAGCCUCAUCUGUGCCGCUUCUUCCUCAGCGCCACGGAUGGCUCCCACAGAAUCUGGUUUAUGCCAGCCUCCAAGCUAAUAGCGUCAAAUCAGCUGGUCAAUUGCAACAAGCACACUGUAAGGCGCUACUCUAUUCUGAGACGAUACCAACAAACUUUAAAAGAUUUCAGCUAACAAUUUGAUAGACAGUAGGCAUUGGACUACUGCUGAGGUAUUAACUUGUGGCACUAAAUAACAGGAACCAAGUGCUGUGAUGGGCUUCAAAACCACCUUCAUUGAGUCUCCAAGACCCAGGCCGAUUUCACUAUUGAUCAGUGCUUACUCUUUCCCAGGCUUUAAGUCAACAGCAAAUUACUUCAGAAUAUGCCCACAAAGGAGCCCAGCCCACUCCUCUGACACACCGAGUAGUAGUUUAGUCAUCUAAAAGUGUCCCGGGAUUCAGAAUGGAGAUACGUUGUCUCUCAGUGGAGGGUCCAGAGUUUCAGCAAUCUUUGAGAAUAUUCAUCACAGAAUGUCACUAUGGCUUAAUUCUGUUUAGCGAUUGUUUAAGUACGAACUCUUUAAUUUGACUCGAGUUUAUCACUAGAGUCAUUUGGAAAGCUUGUUUGGAUCCUAGCUGUGGUACUAAUUACCCUUUGAUCUGUUAACUGAACCUCCGGUCUCUCACUGUCUGCAUUAAAGCACCUCCCCCCAAAAGGAGAGAAAAGCAAGCCUCUCCCUUGAAAGUGAAUCUGCCCAAAAGUUGGAAUAUACAGUGGAUCACAUGACCCUUAACUUCUGCUGGGGUUCUGAAGUUCAAAGACACUGUCAUAAGCCUUGGAAAUGGUCACAAGGGUCUCUGGUACAGACAUGUUGGCCUGACCCAUCCCUUCAUCCUCCUACUCUGUACACACGAUGACCUAACAGUCCUAGGACCUUGUCUGGGGUCAGUGCUGAAGCUUCUGUGUUGGUCUGCACAAAGGCCAGGAGACUUUUUUAUAGACCAGCAUCCUAUGGUGCUCCCAUGGCUUCCGAGAAGAGCAAUGCAUUUCCUCACAGCUCCAUGCUCAGCGUCUGAGAUAAAGGUGUCACUAGCAGGGUUGCACUGCUAAAACGGACGAAGGAACAAGCCUCACAUGUUUAUCAGGACUUGCUGGACAUUUUUGGUUCUCUCUCUGGCUUGGAAAUACAAUCGCUGCAAUCUGUUUCCACGAUCACGUGUUCUCUCUGUGUGUCUGUGUCUCUC